GGGAGCUUGCUCCCUGAGAUCAGCGGCGGACGGGUGAGUAACACGUGGGUAACCUGCCUGUAAGACUGGGAUAACUCCGGGAAACCGGGGCUAAUACCGGAUAACACCUACCCCCGCAUGGGGGAAGGUUGAAAGGUGGCUUCGGCUAUCACUUACAGAUGGACCCGCGGCGCAUUAGCUAGUUGGUGAGGUAACGGCUCACCAAGGCGACGAUGCGUAGCCGACCUGAGAGGGUGAUCGGCCACACUGGGACUGAGACACGGCCCAGACUCCUACGGGAGGCAGCAGUAGGGAAUCUUCCGCAAUGGACGAAAGUCUGACGGAGCAACGCCGCGUGAGUGAAGAAGGUUUUCGGAUCGUAAAACUCUGUUGUUAGGGAAGAACAAGUGCCGUUCGAAUAGGGCGGCACCUUGACGGUACCUAACCAGAAAGCCACGGCUAACUACGUGCCAGCAGCCGCGGUAAUACGUAGGUGGCAAGCGUUGUCCGGAAUUAUUG
rnacentral:rRNA from 1 species